rnacentral:rRNA from 1 species
UAGGGAAUCUUCCACAAUGGACGCAAGUCUGAUGGAGCAACGCCGCGUGAGUGAAGAAGGUUUUCGGACCGUAAAGCUCUGUUGUUGGUGAAGAAGGAUAGAGGUAGUAACUGGCCUUUAUUUGACGGUAAUCAACCAGAAAGUCACGGCUAACUACGUGCCAGCAGCCGCGGUAAUACGUAGGUGGUAAGCGUUGUCCGGAUUUAUUGGGCGUAAAGCGAGCGCAGGCGGAAGAAUAAGUCUGAUGUGAAAGCCCUCGGCUUAACCGAGGAAUUGCAUCGGAAACUGUUUUUCUUGAGUGCAGAAGAGGAGAGUAGAACUCCAUGUGUAGCGGUGGAAUGCGUAGAUAUAUGGAAGAAUACCAGUGGCGAAGGCGGCUCUCUGGUCUGCAACUGACGCUGAGGCUCGAAAGCAUGGGUAGCGAACAGGAUUAGAUACCCUGGUAGUCCAUGCCGUAAACGAUGAGUGCUAAGUGUU